rnacentral:rRNA from 1 species
AGAGCGAACGCUGGCGGCAGGCCUAACACAUGCAAGUCGAGCGCCCGUAGCAAUACGGGAGCGGCAGACGGGAUAGUAACACGUGGGAACGCGCCCUUCGGUUCGGAAUAACUCAGGGAAACUUGAGCUAAUACCGAAUACGCCCUUACGGGGAAAGAUUUAUUGCCGAAGGAACGGCCCGCGUCCGAUUAGCUAGUUGGUGAGGUAAUGGCUCACCAAGGCUACGAUCGGUAGCUGGUCUGAGAGGAUGACCAGCAUCACUGGGACUGAGACACGGCCCAGACUCCUACGGGAGGCAGCAGUGGGGAAUAUUGGACAAUGGGCGCAAGCCUGAUCCAGCCAUGCCGCGUGGAUGAUGAAGGCCUUAGGGUGUAAGUCUUUAACGGGGAGAUAAUGACGGUACCGUAGAAUAAGCCCGGCUAACUUCGUGCCAGCAGCCGC